CCCACAGCACCAGCCCCCAGGAAAGGGGGAAGGAGGAGGAAGGGCGGCAACGUCUUUGCGGCGCUGAACCAGGAGCAGAGCGAGGACGAGGAGGAGGAGGAGGAGAAGGAAAAAAGGGACGAAGGCUCACGGCCCAGCAAGGGCAAAAGCAACAAGGAGGAAGAGGAGGGUGAGAAGAAGAAGAAAGGGCGCAAGAACGAGAAGACCAAGGGGAAGCGGCAGGGAAAAACCCCCAGCGAGGACGAGGCCGAAGGCUCCGAUGAGGAUGCACGGCCCAAAGGCGGGAAG